rnacentral:lncRNA from 12 species
UUUAUCUUCUAUGUUACUGCUGUUUGUGUUAUUAACAGUCUGUCCCUGCACCUGAGCUCGUCGCCUCUGUUACACUGAUGGAGAGUCUGCAUCAACCAGCAGCAGGAGUGGGAUUGACAACCCAUUCUCUUUCUUCUCCUUUUUGGACAUUUACAACUAUAAAGUAGGUGACUAAAGGAACUUGGCAGCCCAUACCACCAAACCAAACACUGCAACAUGGCAAGUUAUUUCUGAUGCUAAAGUCUUUGCUUCUUUGGCCGACAACAUGCUGCAUC